rnacentral:rRNA from 1 species
AGCAGCCACGGUAAUUCCAGCUCCAAUAGCGUAUAUUAAAGUUGUUGCAGUUAAAAAAGCUCGUAGUCGAAUUUCGGGGUCAGUAGAUUGGUCGUGCCACUGGUAUGCACUGGUCUUACUGAUUCCUCCUUCCUGAUAAACCGUAAUGCCAUUAAUUUGGUGUUGCGGGGAAACUGGACUGUUACUUUGAAAAAAAUUAGAGUGUUUAAAGCAAGCUAACGCUUGAAUACAUUAGCAUGGAAUAAUGAAAUAGGACGUUCGAUCCUAUUUUUGUUGGUUUCUAGGAUUGACGUAAUGAUUAAUAGGGAUAGUUGGGGGCAUUAGUAUUCAAUUGUCAGAGGUGAAAUUCUUGGAUUUAUUGAAGACUAACUACUGCGAAAGCAUUUGCCAAGGAUGUUUUCAUUAAUCAAGAACGAAAGUUAGGGGGAUCGAAGACGAUCAGAUACCGUCGUAGUCUUAAACCAUAAACUAUGCCGACUAGGGGUCGGAUGAUGUUAAUUUUAUAAUGACUCAUUCGGCG